AUGAAGGAAUUGUUCACCACCUGGGACGCAAUGCUACUUCUAUCCUGGCGACUGAAAAAAGUUAGUGGGACUGAACCAGAAGCAAAAUGGACAAAGCCUGAAGUCAGAUCUGUGAAACUGAAUGUAUAUGCGGCCUUUCAUAUUGACGAGGGAAGUGGAGCUACAGCAGCAGUUAUCCGUGAUCAUAGGGGAAAUUUUCUGGCGCCACAAUGUUCAUUUGUUCCAUUUGCUGCAGAUGCUUGUACCACAGAAGCCAUGGCGAUGAGAGAUGGGCUAGUUCUUGCCAACUCUCUUGGUUUCAACACUGUUGAGGCCGAAUGA
rnacentral:rRNA from 1 species